rnacentral:rRNA from 1 species
GGGUUGUGAGGUUAAGCGACUAAGCGUACACGGUGGAUGCCCUGGCAGUCAGAGGCGAUGAAGGACGUGCUAAUCUGCGAUAAGCGUCGGUAAGGUGAUAUGAACCGUUAUAACCGGCGAUUUCCGAAUGGGGAAACCCAGUGUGUUUCGACACACUAUCAUUAACUGAAUCCAUAGGUUAAUGAGGCGAACCGGGGGAACUGAAACAUCUAAGUACCCCGAGGAAAAGAAAUCAACCGAGAUUCCCCCAGUAGCGGCGAGCGAACGGGGAGCAGCCCAGAGCCUGAAUCAGUGUGUGUGUUAGUGGAAGCGUCUGGAAAGGCGCGCGAUACAGGGUGACAGCCCCGUACACAAAAAUGCACAUGCUGUGAGCUCGAUGAGUAGGGCGGGACACGUGGUAUCCUGUCUGAAUAUGGGGGGACCAUCCUCCAAGGCUAAAUACUCCUGACUGACCGAUAGUGAACCAGUACCGUGAGGGAAAGGCGAAAAGAACCCCGGCGAGGGGAGUGAAAAAGAACCUGAAACCGUGUACGUACAAGCAGUGGGAGCACGCUUAGGCGUGUGACUGCGUACCUUUUGUAUAAUGGGUCAGCGACUUAUAUUCUGUAGCAAGGUUAACCGAAUAGGGGAGCCGAAGGGAAACCGAGUCUUAACUGGGCGUUAAGUUGCAGGGUAUAGACCCGAAACCCGGUGAUCUAGCCAUGGGCAGGUUGAAGGUUGGGUAACACUAACUGGAGGACCGAACCGACUAAUGUUGAAAAAUUAGCGGAUGACUUGUGGCUGGGGGUGAAAGGCCAAUCAAACCGGGAGAUAGCUGGUUCUCCCCGAAAGCUAUUUAGGUAGCGCCUCGUGAAUUCAUCUCCGGGGGUAGAGCACUGUUUCGGCAAGGGGGUCAUCCCGACUUACCAACCCGAUGCAAACUGCGAAUACCGGAGAAUGUUAUCACGGGAGACACACGGCGGGUGCUAACGUCCGUCGUGAAGAGGGAAACAACCCAGACCGCCAGCUAAGGUCCCAAAGUCAUGGUUAAGUGGGAAACGAUGUGGGAAGGCCCAGACAGCCAGGAUGUUGGCUUAGAAGCAGCCAUCAUUUAAAGAAAGCGUAAUAGCUCACUGGUCGAGUCGGCCUGCGCGGAAGAUGUAACGGGGCUAAACCAUGCACCGAAGCUGCGGCAGCGACGCUUAUGCGUUGUUGGGUAGGGGAGCGUUCUGUAAGCCUGUGAAGGUGUACUGUGAGGUAUGCUGGAGGUAUCAGAAGUGCGAAUGCUGACAUAAGUAACGAUAAAGCGGGUGAAAAGCCCGCUCGCCGGAAGACCAAGGGUUCCUGUCCAACGUUAAUCGGGGCAGGGUGAGUCGACCCCUAAGGCGAGGCCGAAAGGCGUAGUCGAUGGGAAACAGGUUAAUAUUCCUGUACUUGGUGUUACUGCGAAGGGGGGACGGAGAAGGCUAUGUUGGCCGGGCGACGGUUGUCCCGGUUUAAGCGUGUAGGCUGGUUUUCCAGGCAAAUCCGGAAAAUCAAGGCUGAGGCGUGAUGACGAGGCACUACGGUGCUGAAGCAACAAAUGCCCUGCUUCCAGGAAAAGCCUCUAAGCAUCAGGUAACAUCAAAUCGUACCCCAAACCGACACAGGUGGUCAGGUAGAGAAUACCAAGGCGCUUGAGAGAACUCGGGUGAAGGAACUAGGCAAAAUGGUGCCGUAACUUCGGGAGAAGGCACGCUGAUAUGUAGGUGAAGCGACUUGCUCGUGGAGCUGAAAUCAGUCGAAGAUACCAGCUGGCUGCAACUGUUUAUUAAAAACACAGCACUGUGCAAACACGAAAGUGGACGUAUACGGUGUGACGCCUGCCCGGUGCCGGAAGGUUAAUUGAUGGGGUUAGCGCAAGCGAAGCUCUUGAUCGAAGCCCCGGUAAACGGCGGCCGUAACUAUAACGGUCCUAAGGUAGCGAAAUUCCUUGUCGGGUAAGUUCCGACCUGCACGAAUGGCGUAAUGAUGGCCAGGCUGUCUCCACCCGAGACUCAGUGAAAUUGAACUCGCUGUGAAGAUGCAGUGUACCCGCGGCAAGACGGAAAGACCCCGUGAACCUUUACUAUAGCUUGACACUGAACAUUGAGCCUUGAUGUGUAGGAUAGGUGGGAGGCUUUGAAGUGUGGACGCCAGUCUGCAUGGAGCCGACCUUGAAAUACCACCCUUUAAUGUUUGAUGUUCUAACGUUGACCCGUAAUCCGGGUUGCGGACAGUGUCUGGUGGGUAGUUUGACUGGGGCGGUCUCCUCCUAAAGAGUAACGGAGGAGCACGAAGGUUGGCUAAUCCUGGUCGGACAUCAGGAGGUUAGUGCAAUGGCAUAAGCCAGCUUGACUGCGAGCGUGACGGCGCGAGCAGGUGCGAAAGCAGGUCAUAGUGAUCCGGUGGUUCUGAAUGGAAGGGCCAUCGCUCAACGGAUAAAAGGUACUCCGGGGAUAACAGGCUGAUACCGCCCAAGAGUUCAUAUCGACGGCGGUGUUUGGCACCUCGAUGUCGGCUCAUCACAUCCUGGGGCUGAAGUAGGUCCCAAGGGUAUGGCUGUUCGCCAUUUAAAGUGGUACGCGAGCUGGGUUUAGAACGUCGUGAGACAGUUCGGUCCCUAUCUGCCGUGGGCGCUGGAGAACUGAGGGGGGCUGCUCCUAGUACGAGAGGACCGGAGUGGACGCAUCACUGGUGUUCGGGUUGUCAUGCCAAUGGCACUGCCCGGUAGCUAAAUGCGGAAGAGAUAAGUGCUGAAAGCAUCUAAGCACGAAACUUGCCCCGAGAUGAGUUCUCCCUGACUCCUUGAGAGUCCUGAAGGAACGUUGAAGACGACGACGUUGAUAGGCCGGGUGUGUAAGCGCAGCGAUGCGUUGAGCUAACCGGUACUAAUGAACCGUGAGGCUUAACCUUACAACGCCGAAG